UGGAGGACUUGCUGGUUGCACAGAUCUUGGAGCAACUCCUCCUGGAGUUGCCAUGGGCGUAAAUCCUAUGGACCCAGGUGCUGAGGCAUUAACUUGGGGCAUUUGAGGGUUAGGAUAUUGCCCAAAUUGUGAAGGGCCAGAAGGUGCAUAUGGACCAUGACCCGGGGGAGCAGGGUAGGCAUUGUGAGAUGGUCCCUGA